rnacentral:rRNA from 1 species
UACGGAGGAUCCGAGCGUUAUCCGGAUUUACUGGGUUUAAAGGGUGCGUAGGUGGAACGACAAGUCAGUGGUGAAAACCUGCAGCUUAACUGCAGACCUGCCAUUGAUACUGUUGUUCUUGAGUGUAUUUGAUGUAAGUGGAAUGUGUCAUGUAGCGGUGAAAUGCUUAGAUAUGACACAGAACACCCAUUGCGAAGGCAGCUUACAAAACUACAACUGACACUGAGGCACGAAAGCGUGGGGAUCAAACAGG